rnacentral:misc_RNA from 1 species
GAGAAAGAGAGAGGAGAGAGAAACUACGCCGAUGGCGUUCCGGUGCUCCGCCGCCGCGAUGCGGCAAGGCCGCUGGGCGGCGCUCGCCGCCAGCAUAUGGAUCCAGUCCUUCAGCGGUACCUCCUAUUGCUUCGGCAUCUACUCCGCCGCCCUCAAAUCGUCCCAGGGCUACGACCAGUCGACGCUCGACACCGUCGGCUUCUUCAAGGACAUCGGCGCCAACGUCGGAAUCCUCUCCGGGAUGCUCU